CCUACGGGUGGCAGCAGUGAGGAAUAUUGGUCAAUGGGCGAGAGCCUGAACCAGCCAAGUAGCGUGAAGGAUGACUGCUCUAUGGGUUGUAAACUUCUUUUAUAAAGGAAUAAAGUGAUGCACGUGUGCCAUUUUGUAUGUACUAUAUGAAUCAGGAACGGCUAACUCAGUGCCAGCAGCCGCGGUAAUACGGAGGAUCCGAGCGUUAUCCGGAUUUAUUGGGUUUAAAGGGAGCGUAGAUGGGUUGUUAAGUCAGUUGUGAAAGUUUGCGGCUCAACCGUAAAAUUGCAGUUGAUACUGGCAGCCUUGAGUACAGUAGAGGUAGGCGGAAUUCGUGGUGUAGCGGUGAAAUGCUUAGAUAUCACGAAGAACUCCGAUUGCGAAGGCAGCCUACUAAACUGCCACUGACAUUGAUGCUCGAAAGUGUGGGUAUCAAACAGGAUUAGAUACCCUAGUAGUC
rnacentral:rRNA from 1 species